GGUUAAGUGAAUAAGGGCGCACGGUGGAUGCCUUGGCACUAGGAGCCGAUGAAGGACGGGACUAACACCGAUAUGCUUUGGGGAGCUGUACGUAAGCUAUGAUCCAGAGAUUUCCGAAUGGGGGAACCCAACAUCUUUAAUAGGAUGUUACGAUUGUGUGAAUACAUAGCACAUUCGAGGUAGACGCAGAGAACUGAAACAUCUAAGUACCUGCAGGAAGAGAAAGAAAAUUCGAUUCCCUGAGUAGCGGCGAGCGAAACGGGAAAAGCCCAAACCAGCAAGCUUGCUUGUUGGGGUUGUAGGACUCCAAUAUGGUAGUUCUUUCAGAUAGUCGAAUGACUUGGAAAAGUCAGUCAAAGAGGGUAAAAACCCCGUAGACGAAAUGUGGAAGACACCUAGGAGGAUCCUGAGUACGGCGGAACACGAGAAAUUCCGUCGGAAUCCGGGAGGACCAUCUCCCAAGGCUAAAUACUCCCUAGUGACCGAUAGUGAACCAGUACCGUGAGGGAAAGGUGAAAAGCACCCCGGAAGGGGAGUGAAAUAGAACCUGAAACCGUGUGCCUACAACAAGUCAAAGCCCGUUAAUGGGUGAUGGCGUGCCUUUUGUAGAAUGAACCGGCGAGUUACGAUUGCAUGCGAGGUUAAGUUGAAGAGACGGAGCCGCAGCGAAAGCGAGUCUGAAUAGGGCGUUUGAGUAUGUAGUCGUAGACCCGAAACCAUGUGAUCUACCCAUGUCCAGGUUGAAGGUGCGGUAAAACGCACUGGAGGACCGAACCCACGUACGUUGAAAAGUGCGGGGAUGAGGUGUGGGUAGCGGAGAAAUUCCAAACGAACUUGGAGAUAGCUGGUUCUCUCCGAAAUAGCUUUAGGGCUAGCCUCGGAAUUGAGAAUGAUGGAGGUAGAGCACUGUUUGGACUAGGGGCCCAUCUCGGGUUACCGAAUUCAGAUAAACUCCGAAUGCCAUUCAUUCAUAUCCGGGAGUCAGACUGUGAGUGAUAAGAUCCAUAGUCGAAAGGGAAACAGCCCAGACCACCAGCUAAGGUCCCAAAAUAUAUGUUAAGUGGAAAAGGAUGUGGGGUUGCACAGACAACUAGGAUGUUGGCUUAGAAGCAGCCACCAUUUAAAGAGUGCGUAAUAGCUCACUAGUCGAGUGACCCUGCGCCGAAAAUGUACCGGGGCUAAACAUAUUACCGAAGCUGUGGAGUACACCUUUAGGUGUAUUGGUAGGAGAGCGUUCUAAGGGCGUUGAAGGCAGAUCGUGAGGACUGCUGGAGCGCUUAGAAGUGAGAAUGCCGGUAUGAGUAGCGAAAGACAGGUGAGAAUCCUGUCCACCGAAUGACUAAGGUUUCCUGGGGAAGGCUCGUCCGCCCAGGGUUAGUCGGGACCUAAGCCGAGGCCGACAGGCGUAGGCGAUGGAUAACAGGUUGAUAUUCCUGUACCCGUUGUUUUUGUUUGAGCAAUGGAGGGACGCAGGAGGCUAAGGAAUGCAGACGAUCGGAAAUGUCUGUCCAAGCAGUAAGUCUGAAGAGGAGUCAAAUGCUUCUUUUCUUAAGGACAAGCUGUGAUGGGGAGG
rnacentral:rRNA from 1 species